UACGGGGGGGGCAAGCGUUGUUCGGAAUUACUGGGCGUAAAGGGUUUGUAGGUGGCUUGCUAAGUCAGACGUGAAAUCCCUCAGCUUAACUGGGGAACUGCGUCUGAGACUGGUGAGCUUGAGUGCAGGAGAGGAACGCGGAAUUCCAGGUGUAGCGGUGAAAUGCGUAGAUAUCUGGAGGAACACCGGUGGCGAAGGCGGCAUCCUGGACCGAUACUGACGCUGAGGAGCGAAAGCCAGGGGAGCAAACGGG
rnacentral:rRNA from 1 species